GGGUUGUGAGGUUAAGCGACUAAGCGUACACGGUGGAUGCCCUGGCAGUCAGAGGCGAUGAAGGACGUGCUAAUCUGCGAUAAGCGUCGGUAAGGUGAUAUGAACCGUUAUAACCGGCGAUUUCCGAAUGGGGAAACCCAGUGUGAUUCGUCACACUAUCAUUAACUGAAUCCAUAGGUUAAUGAGGCGAACCGGGGGAACUGAAACAUCUAAGUACCCCGAGGAAAAGAAAUCAACCGAGAUUCCCCCAGUAGCGGCGAGCGAACGGGGAGCAGCCCAGAGCCUGAAUCAGUGUGUGUGUUAGUGGAAGCGUCUGGAAAGGCGCGCGAUACAGGGUGACAGCCCCGUACACAAAAAUGCACAUACUGUGAGCUCGAUGAGUAGGGCGGGACACGUGGUAUCCUGUCUGAAUAUGGGGGGACCAUCCUCCAAGGCUAAAUACUCCUGACUGACCGAUAGUGAACCAGUACCGUGAGGGAAAGGCGAAAAGAACCCCGGCGAGGGGAGUGAAAAAGAACCUGAAACCGUGUACGUACAAGCAGUGGGAGCACAGAGCAAUCUGUGUGACUGCGUACCUUUUGUAUAAUGGGUCAGCGACUUAUAUUCUGUAGCAAGGUUAACCGAAUAGGGGAGCCGAAGGGAAACCGAGUCUUAACUGGGCGUUAAGUUGCAGGGUAUAGACCCGAAACCCGGUGAUCUAGCCAUGGGCAGGUUGAAGGUUGGGUAACACUAACUGGAGGACCGAACCGACUAAUGUUGAAAAAUUAGCGGAUGACUUGUGGCUGGGGGUGAAAGGCCAAUCAAACCGGGAGAUAGCUGGUUCUCCCCGAAAGCUAUUUAGGUAGCGCCUCGUGAAUUCAUCUCCGGGGGUAGAGCACUGUUUCGGCAAGGGGGUCAUCCCGACUUACCAACCCGAUGCAAACUGCGAAUACCGGAGAAUGUUAUCACGGGAGACACACGGCGGGUGCUAACGUCCGUCGUGAAGAGGGAAACAACCCAGACCGCCAGCUAAGGUCCCAAAGUCAUGGUUAAGUGGGAAACGAUGUGGGAAGGCCCAGACAGCCAGGAUGUUGGCUUAGAAGCAGCCAUCAUUUAAAGAAAGCGUAAUAGCUCACUGGUCGAGUCGGCCUGCGCGGAAGAUGUAACGGGGCUAAACCAUGCACCGAAGCUGCGGCAGCGACGCUGUUGCGUUGUUGGGUAGGGGAGCGUUCUGUAAGCCUGUGAAGGUGUGCUGUGAGGCAUGCUGGAGGUAUCAGAAGUGCGAAUGCUGACAUAAGUAACGAUAAAGCGGGUGAAAAGCCCGCUCGCCGGAAGACCAAGGGUUCCUGUCCAACGUUAAUCGGGGCAGGGUGAGUCGACCCCUAAGGCGAGGCCGAAAGGCGUAGUCGAUGGGAAACAGGUUAAUAUUCCUGUACUUGGUGUUACUGCGAAGGGGGGACGGAGAAGGCUAUGUUGGCCGGGCGACGGUUGUCCCGGUUUAAGCGUGUAGGCUGGUUUUCCAGGCAAAUCCGGAAAAUCAAGGCUGAGGCGUGAUGACGAGGCACUACGGUGCUGAAGCAACAAAUGCCCUGCUUCCAGGAAAAGCCUCUAAGCAUCAGGUAACAUCAAAUCGUACCCCAAACCGACACAGGUGGUCAGGUAGAGAAUACCAAGGCGCUUGAGAGAACUCGGGUGAAGGAACUAGGCAAAAUGGUGCCGUAACUUCGGGAGAAGGCACGCUGAUAUGUAGGUGAAGUCCCUCGCGGAUGGAGCUGAAAUCAGUCGAAGAUACCAGCUGGCUGCAACUGUUUAUUAAAAACACAGCACUGUGCAAACACGAAAGUGGACGUAUACGGUGUGACGCCUGCCCGGUGCCGGAAGGUUAAUUGAUGGGGUUAGCGCAAGCGAAGCUCUUGAUCGAAGCCCCGGUAAACGGCGGCCGUAACUAUAACGGUCCUAAGGUAGCGAAAUUCCUUGUCGGGUAAGUUCCGACCUGCACGAAUGGCGUAAUGAUGGCCAGGCUGUCUCCACCCGAGACUCAGUGAAAUUGAACUCGCUGUGAAGAUGCAGUGUACCCGCGGCAAGACGGAAAGACCCCGUGAACCUUUACUAUAGCUUGACACUGAACAUUGAGCCUUGAUGUGUAGGAUAGGUGGGAGGCUUUGAAGUGUGGACGCCAGUCUGCAUGGAGCCGACCUUGAAAUACCACCCUUUAAUGUUUGAUGUUCUAACGUUGACCCGUAAUCCGGGUUGCGGACAGUGUCUGGUGGGUAGUUUGACUGGGGCGGUCUCCUCCUAAAGAGUAACGGAGGAGCACGAAGGUUGGCUAAUCCUGGUCGGACAUCAGGAGGUUAGUGCAAUGGCAUAAGCCAGCUUGACUGCGAGCGUGACGGCGCGAGCAGGUGCGAAAGCAGGUCAUAGUGAUCCGGUGGUUCUGAAUGGAAGGGCCAUCGCUCAACGGAUAAAAGGUACUCCGGGGAUAACAGGCUGAUACCGCCCAAGAGUUCAUAUCGACGGCGGUGUUUGGCACCUCGAUGUCGGCUCAUCACAUCCUGGGGCUGAAGUAGGUCCCAAGGGUAUGGCUGUUCGCCAUUUAAAGUGGUACGCGAGCUGGGUUUAGAACGUCGUGAGACAGUUCGGUCCCUAUCUGCCGUGGGCGCUGGAGAACUGAGGGGGGCUGCUCCUAGUACGAGAGGACCGGAGUGGACGCAUCACUGGUGUUCGGGUUGUCAUGCCAAUGGCACUGCCCGGUAGCUAAAUGCGGAAGAGAUAAGUGCUGAAAGCAUCUAAGCACGAAACUUGCCCCGAGAUGAGUUCUCCCUGACUCCUUGAGAGUCCUGAAGGAACGUUGAAGACGACGACGUUGAUAGGCCGGGUGUGUAAGCGCAGCGAUGCGUUGAGCUAACCGGUACUAAUGAACCGUGAGGCUUAACCUUACAACGCCGAAGGUGUUU
rnacentral:rRNA from 1 species